GGACUACCAUGGCAAUCACGGGUAACGGAGAAUUAGGGUUCGAUUCCGGAGAGGGAGCCUGAGAAACGGCUACCACAUCUACGGAAGGCAGCAGGCGCGAAAAUUGCCCAAUCCUGAUUCAGGGAGGCAGUGACAAGAAAUAACAACUUUCAACUUUGUUGAAAAGUGUAAUGAGGAUAAUUUACAAACCUUACCGAAAGCAAUUGGAGGGCAAGUCUGGUGCCAGCAGCCGCGGUAAUUCCAGCUCCAAAAGCGUAUAUUAAAGUUGUUGCAGUUAAAAAGCUCGUAGUUGAAGUUCUGGCUGUAUUGGGCCUCUGCACUCGAUGCGGAGGAACCAGCAGUCAUCCGCUUGCAAAUACAUGUCCUUCCUUAACCGGUAGGCUGUAUAAGUAAGCACUUUACCUUGAGAAAACAGAGUGUUCCAGGCAGGUUUGUCCGGAAUGCGUUAGCAUGGAAUAAUAGAAUAUGACUGAAGUCGAUUUAUUGGUUAAAGGCUUUAGUAAUGAUUAAUAGGAACAAUCGGGGG
rnacentral:rRNA from 1 species